UACGAAGGGGGCUAGCGUUGUUCGGAAUUACUGGGCGUAAAGCGCACGUAGGCGGAUAUUUAAGUCAGGGGUGAAAUCCCAGAGCUCAACUCUGGAACUGCCUUUGAUACUGGGUAUCUUGAGUAUGGAAGAGGUAAGUGGAAUUGCGAGUGUAGAGGUGAAAUUCGUAGAUAUUCGCAGGAACACCAGUGGCGAAGGCGGCUCACUGGACGACUGUUGACGCUGAGGUACGAAAGCGUGGGGAGCAAACAGGGA
rnacentral:rRNA from 1 species